rnacentral:rRNA from 1 species
UACAGAGGUCUCAAGCGUUGUUCGGAUUCAUUGGGCGUAAAGGGUGUGUAGGUGGCGCCGUAAGUCGGGUGUGAAAUUUCGGAGCUUAACUCCGAAACUGCAUUCGAUACUGCGGUGCUUGAGGACUGGAGAGGAGACUGGAAUUCCUGGUGUAGCGGUGGAAUGCGCAGAUAUCAGGAGGAACACCAAUGGCGAAGGCAGCUCUCUGGUACAUGAUUGACGCUGAGACGCGAAAGCGUGGGGAGCGAACAGG